AUUGAACGCUGGUGGCAUGCUUUACACAUGCAAGUCGAACGGUAACAGGCCGCAAGGUGCUGACGAGUGGCGAACGGGUGAGUAAUGCAUCGGAACGUGCCCAGUCGUGGGGGAUAACGCAGCGAAAGCUGCGCUAAUACCGCAUACGAUCUACGGAUGAAAGCGGGGGACCGUAAGGCCUCGCGCGAUUGGAGCGGCCGAUGUCAGAUUAGGUAGUUGGUGGGGUAAAGGCUCACCAAGCCAACGAUCUGUAGCUGGUCUGAGAGGACGACCAGCCACACUGGGACUGAGACACGGCCCAGACUCCUACGGGAGGCAGCAGUGGGGAAUUUUGGACAAUGGGCGCAAGCCUGAUCCAGCAAUGCCGCGUGCAGGAAGAAGGCCUUCGGGUUGUAAACUGCUUUUGUACGGAACGAAACGGUCCUGGUUAAUACCUGGGGCUAAUGACGGUACCGUAAGAAUAAGCACCGGCUAACUACGUGCCAGCCGCCGCCGUAACAC
rnacentral:rRNA from 1 species